UGGGGAAUUUUGGACAAUGGGGGCAACCCUGAUCCAGCAAUGCCGCGUGAGUGAAGAAGGCCUUCGGGUUGUAAAGCUCUUUUGUCAGGGAAGAAACGGUAGUAGCGAAUAACUAUUACUAAUGACGGUACCUGAAGAAUAAGCACCGGCUAACUACGUGCCAGCAGCCGCGGUAAUACGUAGGGUGCAAGCGUUAAUCGGAAUUACUGGGCGUAAAGCGUGCGCAGGCGGUUGUGUAAGUCAGAUGUGAAAUCCCCGGGCUCAACCUGGGAAUUGCAUUUGAGACUGCACGGCUAGAGUGUGUCAGAGGGGGGUAGAAUUCCACGUGUAGCAGUGAAAUGCGUAGAUAUGUGGAGGAAUACCGAUGGCGAAGGCAGCCCCCUGGGAUAACACUGACGCUCAUGCACGAAAGCGUGGGGAGCAAACAGGAUUAGAUACCCAACUAGUCCCUGAGCGGGCUGGCAAGGCGCAU
rnacentral:rRNA from 1 species